rnacentral:rRNA from 1 species
GACGAACGCUGGCGGCGUGCUUAACACAUGCAAGUCGAACGGAAAGGCCCUGCUUGCAGGGUACUCGAGUGGCGAACGGGUGAGUAACACGUGGGUGAUCUGCCCUGCACUUCGGGAUAAGCCUGGGAAACUGGGUCUAAUACCGGAUAGGAGCCAUUUUUAGUGUGAUGGUUGGAAAGUUUUUUCGGUGUAGGAUGAGCUCGCGGCCUAUCAGCUUGUUGGUGGGGUAAUGGCCUACCAAGGCGGCGACGGGUAGCCGGCCUGAGAGGGUGGACGGCCACAUUGGGACUGAGGUAAGGCCCAGACUCCUACGGGAGGCAUCAGGGGGGAAUAUUGAACAAUGGGCGCAAGCCUGAUGCAGCGACGCCGCGUGGGGGAUGACGGCCUUCGGGUUGUAAACUCCUUUCGCUAGGGACGAAGCUUUUUGUGACGGUACCUAGAUAAGAAGCACCGGCUAACUACGUG